rnacentral:tRNA from 1 species
UGGAGAUUUGGCCGAGUGGUUUAAGGCAGCGGUCUUGAAAAUCGCCGGGCGCCUCUGGCGUUCCCUGGGUUCGAAUCCCAGAGUCUCCGCCAA